UUUGCUCUUUCGUAUCAAUCAGGGACGGUUUCUUGGAGCAUACUCAAAGAGGUUCUACAUAAAAGACCAGUGCAGAGCCUUGCCUAAGGCUUGGACGAGUGUUCACUGAAGACAGUGUCAUAGCAACUCAACUCCAGAUGGCGUCAUGGACUUUCCUUGUCGUCGUGUUGAUGCUGGCAGUGGUCGUUGGUGCACGGGGUAUGAAGGGUAUGAAGGCAUUUGCGAAGACCAUGAGCGAUGUAAUUGCGUCCCUGACUACAAUAGCGGAUACUGGCUGUGCGUGCCGAAGAGCGGUUAGCGAUCAUCAGCAAACCGAGAAACAGAAAUCAGUCUGGAAAAUAAAAUAAAAAUGUUGCCUCCUCCAACGGAGAUUUUA